rnacentral:lncRNA from 1 species
UCUGUUUUUGUUUUUGUUGGUUCAGCUUCGUGCUUCUUCACUGGAGUCUCUGUGGAAGAUAUUACAUUCCAUGAUAUAUCAUAAUUGAUAAGGGAGUAGGUAGAGUAAGUGCCUCUAACUUGAUGACCUACAUGUUAUUUUACAUCAUUAGGUCUUAACAUCUCUACAAAAAUGAAAAACAUUUAGCGUAAUUACCUGUUUUUGUUUUUGUUGGUUCAGCUUCAUGCUUCUUCACUGGAGUCUCUGUGGAAGAUAUUACAUUCCAUGACAUGUCAUAAUUGAUAUGGGAGUAGGUAGAGUAAGUGCCUCUAACUCGAUGACCUACAUGUUAUUUUACAUCAUUAGGUCUUAACAUCUCUACAAAAAUGAAAAAACAUUUUCCGUAACUACCUGUUUUUGUUUUUGUUGGUUCAGCUUCGUGCUUCUUCACUGGAGUCUCUGUGGAAGAUAUUACAUUCCAUGAUAUAUCAUAAUUGAUAUGGGAGUAGGUAGAAUAAGUGCCUCUAACUCGAUGACCUACAUGUUAUUUGACAUCAUUAGGUCUUAACAUCUCUACAAAAAUGAAAAAACAUUUAGGGUAAUUACCUGUUUUUGUUUUUGUUGUUCAGCUUCGUGCUUCUUCACUGGAGUCUCUGUGGAAGAUAUUACAUUCCAUGAUAUAUCAUAAUUGAUAAGGGAGUAGGUAGAGUAAGUGCCUCUAACUUGAUGACCUACAUGUUAUUUUACAUCAUUAGGUCUUAACAUCUCUACAAAAAUGAAAAAACAUUUAGGGUAAUACCUGUUUUUGUUUUUGUUGGUUCAGCUUCGUGCUUCUUCACUGGAGUCUCUGUGGAAGAUAUUACAUUCCAUGAUAUAUCAUAAUUGAUAUGGGAGUAGGUAGAAUAAGUGCCUCUAACUCGAUGACCUACAUGUUAUUUGACAUCAUUAGGUCUUAACAUCUCUACAAAAAUGAAAAAACAUUUUCCGCAACUACCUGUUUUUGUUUUUGUUGGUUCAGCUUCGUGCUUCUUCACUGGAGUCUCUGUGGAAGAUAUUACAUUCCAUGAUAUAUCAUAAUUGAUAAGGGAGUAGGUAGAGUAAGUGCCUCUAACUUGAUGACCUACAUGCUAUUUUACAUCAUUAGGUCUUAACAUCUCUACAAAAAUGAAAAAACAUUUUCAGUAACUACCUGUUUUUGUUUUUGUUGGUUCAGCUUCGUGCUUCUUCACUGGAGUCUCUGUGGAAGAUAUUACAUUCCAUGAUAUAUCAUAAUUGAUAAGGGAGUAGGUAGAGUAAGUGCCUCUAACUUGAUGACCUACAUGUUAUUUUACAUCAUUAGGUCUUAACAUCUCUACAAAAAUGAAAAAACAUUUAGCGUAACUACCUGUUUUUGUUUUUGUUGGUUCAGCUUCGUGCUUCUUCACUGGAGUCUCUGGGAAGAUAUUACAUUACAUGAUAUAUCAUAAUUGAUAAGGGAGUAGGUAGAGUAAGUGCCUCUAACUUGAUGACCUACAUGUUAUUUUUCAUCAGUAGGUCUUAACAUCUCUACAAAAAUGAAAAAAACAUUUAGCGUAACUACCUGUUUUUGUUUUUGUUGGUUCAGCUUCGUGCUUCUUCACUGGAGUCUCUGUGGAAGAUAUUACAUUCCAUGAUAUAUCAUAAUUGAUAAGGGAGUAGGUAGAGUAAGUGCCUCUAACUUGAUGACCUACAUGUUAUGUUACAUCAUUAGGUCUUAACAUCUGUACAAAAAUGAAAAAACAUUUUGCGUAACUACCUGUUUUUGUUUUUGUUGGUUCAGCUUCGUGCUUCUUCACUGGAGUCUCCGUGGAAGAUAUUACAUUCCAUGAUAUAUCAUAAUUGAUAAGGGAGUAGGUAGAGUAAGUGCCUCUAACUUGAUGACCUACAUGUUAUUUUACAUCAUUAGGUCUUAACAUCUCUACAAAAAUGAAAAACAUUUAGCGUAAUUACCUGUUUUUGUUUUUGUUGGUUCAGCUUCAUGCUUCUUCACUGGAGUCUCUGUGGAAGAUAUUACAUUCCAUGAUAUAUCAUAAUUGAUAUGGGAGUAGGUAGAGUAAGUGCCUCUAACUCGAUGACCUACAUGUUAUUUUACAUCAUUAGGUCUUAACAUCUCUACAAAAAUGAAAAAACAUUUUCCGCAACUACCUGUUUUUGUUUUUGUUGGUUCAGCUUCGUGCUUCUUCACUGGAGUCUCUGUGGAAGAUAUUACAUUCCAUGAUAUAUCAUAAUUGAUAAGGGAGUAGGUAGAGUAAGUGCCUCUAACUUGAUGACCUACAUGUUAUUUGACAUCAUUAGGUCUUAACAUCUCUACAAAAAUGAAAAAACAUUUAGCGUUAUUAGCUGUUUUUGUUUUUGUUGGUUCAGCUUCAUGCUUCUUCACUGGAGUCUCUGUGGAAGAUAUUACAUUCAAUGAUAUAUCAUAAUUGGUAUGGGAGUAGGUAGAAUAAGUUCCUCUAACUCGAUGACCUACAUGUUAUUUGAGAUCAUUAGGUCUUGACAUCUCUACAAAAAUGAAAAAACAUUUAGGGUAAUUACCUGUUUUUGUUUUUGUUGGUUCAGCUUCGUGCUUCUUCACUGGAGUCUCUGUGGAAGAUAUUACAUUCCAUGAUAUAUUAUAAUUGAUAAGGGAGUAGGUAGAGUAAGUGCCUCUAACUCGAUGACCUACAUGUUAUUUGACAUCAUUAGGUCUUAACAUCUCUAGAAAAAUGAAAAAACAUUUAGCGUAACUACCUGUUUUUGUUUUUGUUGGUUCAGCUUCGUGCUUCUUCACUGGAGUCUCUGUGGAAGAUAUUACAUUCCAUGAUAUAUUAUAAUUGAUAAGGGAGUAGGUAGAGUAAGUGCCUCUAACUCGAUGACCUACAUGUUAUUUGACAUCAUUAGGUCUUAACAUCUCUAGAAAAAUGAAAAAACAUUUAGCGUAACUACCUGUUUUUGUUUUUGUUGGUUCAGCUUCGUGCUUCUUCACUGGAGUCUCUGUGGAAGAUAUUACAUUCCAUGAUAUAUUAUAAUUGAUAAGGGAGUAGGUAGAGUAAGUGCCUCUAACUUGAUGACCUACAUGUUAUUUUACAUCAUUAGGUCUUAACAUCUCUACAAAAAUGAAAAAACAUUUAGCGUAACUACCUGUUUUUGUUUUUGUUGGUUCAGCUUCGUGCUUCUUCACUGGAGUCUCUGUGGAAGAUAUUACAUUCCAUGAUAUAUCAUAAUUGAUAUGGGAGUAGGUAGAGUAAGUGCCUCUAACUCGAUGACCUACAUGUUAUUUGACAUCAUUAGGUCUUAACAUCUCUACAAAAAUGAAAAAACAUUUAGGGUAAUUACCUGUUUUUGUUUUUGUUGGUUCAGCUUCGUGCUUCUUCACUGGAGUCUCUGUGGAAGAUAUUACAUUCCAUGAUAUAUCAUAAUUGAUAUGGGAGUAGGUAGAAUAAGUGCCUCUAACUCGAUGACCUACAUGUUAUUUGACAUCAUUAGGUCUUAACAUCUCUACAAAAAUGAAAAAACAUUUAGCGUAAUUACCUGUUUUUGUUUUUGUUGGUUCAGCUUCGUGCUUCUUCACUGGAGUCUCUGUGGAAGAUAUUACAUUCCAUGAUAUAUCAUAAUUGAUAAGGGAGUAGGUAGAGUAAGUGCCUCUAACUUGAUGACCUACAUGUUAUUUUACAUCAUUAGGUCUUAACAUCUCUACAAAAAUGAAAAAACAUUUUCCGUAACUACCUGUUUUUUUUUGUUUUUGUUCAGCUUUGUGCUUCUUCACUGGAGUCUCUGUGGAAGAUAUUACAUUCCAUGAUAUAUCAUAAUUGAUAUGGGAGUAGGUAGAAUAAGUGCCUCUAACUCGAUGACCUACAUGUUAUUUGACAUCAUUAGGUCUUAACAUCUCUACAAAAAUGAAAAAACAUUUUGCGUAACUACCUGUUUUUGUUUUUGUUGGUUCAGCUUCGUGCUUCUUCACUGGGGUCUCUGUGGAAGAUAUUACAUUCCAUGAUAUAUCAUAAUUGAUAUGGGAGUAGGUAGAAUAAGUGCCUCUAACUCGAUGACCUACAUGUUAUUUGACAUCAUUAGGUCUUAACAUCUCUACAAAAAUGAAAAAACAUUUAGGGUAAUAACCUGUUUUUGUUUUUGUUGGUUCAGCUUUGUGCUUCUUCACUGGAGUCUCUGUGGAAGAUAUUACAUUCCAUGAUAUAUCAUAAUUGAUAAGGGAGUAGGUAGAGUAAGUGCCUCUAACUUGAUGACCUACAUGUUAUUUUACAUCAUUAGGUCUUAACAUCUCUACAAAAAUGAAAAAACAUUUAGCGUAACUACCUGUUUUUGUUUUUGUUGAUUCAGCUUCAUGCUUCUUCACUGGGGUCUCUGUGGAAGAUAUUACAUUCCAUGAUAUAUCAUAAUUGAUAUGGGAGUAGGUAGAAUAAGUGCCUCUAACUCGAUGACCUACAUGUUAUUUGACAUCAUUAGGUCUUAACAUCUCUACAAAAAUGAAAAAACAUUUUCCGCAACUACCUGUUUUUGUUUUUGUUGGUUCAGCUUCGUGCUUCUUCACUGGAGUCUCUGUGGAAGAUAUUACAUUCCAUGAUAUAUCAUAAUUGAUAAGGGAGUAGGUAGAGUAAGUGCCUCUAACUUGAUGACCUACAUGCUAUUUUACAUCAUUAGGUCUUAACAUCUCUACAAAAAUGAAAAACAUUUAGCGUAAUUACUUGUUUUUGUUUUUGUUGGUUCAGCUUCAUGCUUCUUCACUGGAGUCUCUGUGGAAGAUAUUACAUUCCAUGAUAUAUCAUAAUUGAUAUGGGAGUAGGUAGAGUAAGUGCCUCUAACUCGAUGACCUACAUGUUAUUUUACAUCAUUAGGUCUUAACAUCUCUACAAAAAUGAAAAAAAAAUUAGCGUAACUACCUGUUUUUGUUUUUGUUGGUUCAGCUUCGUGCUUCUUCACUGGAGUCUCUGUGGAAGAUAUUACAUUCCAUGAUAUAUCAUAAUUCAUAUGGGAGUAGGUAGAGUAACUGCCUCUAACUCGAUGACCUACAUGUUAUUUUACUUCAUUAAGUCUUAACAUCUUUACAAAAAUGAAAAACAUUUAGCGUAACUACCUGUUUUUGUUUUUGUUGGUUCAGCUUCGUGCUUCUUCACUGGAGUCUCUGUGGAAGAUAUUACAUUUCAUGAUAUAUCAUAAUUGAUAUGGGAGUAGGUAGAGUAAGUGCCUCUAACUCGAUGACCUACAUGUUAUUUGACAUCAUUAGGUGUUAAUAUCUCUACAAAAAUGAAAAAACAUUUAGGGUAAUUACCUGUUUUUGUUUUUGUUGGUUCAGCUUCGUGCUUCUUCACUGGAGUCUCUGUGGAAGAUAUUACAUUCCAUGAUAUAUCAUAAUUGAUAAGACCACCCAUGUAUACGUGUGUCAGGUUCUUUACGGGCUAAAAGACCUUAUUUGGAGGGUGCGCAUUCCAGUUUUCCAACUUGGAAUUUUCACAGCUGGUCAUCGUGCAUCCAUGUCCUAUUUGGGACAUUUUUGAAGCCUGCCAAUGUAAUUUACUCCCUUUAAACAAUAUAGUUUUGAAAAGUAGACACCUUAGGGCAUUUCAAAGGGUGGUGUUUAACACUUUCCAUGCACUAAUUCUACCACCAGUCUCUGUCAAACUUUUGGGUAGUAAUUUUUUUGUGUUAUUUUUCUCUCACAUUGUACUUUAGGCAUGGAUUCUCAGUUUCUGUUAUGUUUUACUGACAAAGAAUACCCCAAUAUGUGUUCAGCAACAUCUCUUGAGUACAACAGUGCCCCAAAUGUACAGGUCUUAUGUUUUUUUGCAUACUUACAGAGGUCAAAUGUAGGGCUUUCCCCUUUUCUAUAUUUGCACAUUGAAAUUUGCCAGAUUGGUUGGCUGGGCCUAUGUUGCCUUUGAGACCGUAUAGCAGCCCAGGAAUGAAAAUUAACCCCAUCAUGGCAUACCAUUUGUAAGAGUAGACAACCCAGGGUAUUAAAAAUGGUUAUGUGGGGGCGGAGCCGAGCAUUCAGGCUGAGUGAUUGUGCUGAACCUCAGCUCCCGCUCUAUUCUGCACUUUCCAGGGGUAAAUCCCCUAAAAAUUGGCACAGUCGUGCACUGGAGUGAAGCUACCAUAACGGGGACACCCGGGGGAAUCGCAUGACAACAUACCCUGAGGCCUACCGGAGAUCGAGCAGCGGGGAGACGCCGCUCCCCGCGCUGACUGACCUUGACACAGAUCCCUCUGGGUUACCUCCAUCUACCCCCCCGAACUGAUGGGGGUCAUCUCAGUCCACACCAAGCGACAGGAGGGGCAGUUACAAGCUGCACCCGCAACUCGACGAACUGCAGCACAAUAGCAGCCGAGCACAUGGCGUAUCCAAAAUGGCGGCGACAAGCGAGCCAAACUGCAUACAUGAGACAGAGAUCCAUAGCUAUGUUCAGCGGCGUCUAGAAGGUGCUUUUGCCCGAUUCUGGCACAGACUGAAUGAACAGCUGCAAACACCUCAGGCAAACCCGCAAACCCUGACAGGUACGAGCAAGCUGAACCGUACCCACGGGGAAAAGAGAAAGAUACCACUGCAAAGGCAGACAGAACGCAAGAAAGGAGCUGGGAAUGGGGGAAAGAGGACCCCACUUUGGGCAAAGCAAUUGUCCCCAAGCUAAUCACAGAAACACACAGCCCACCCAGGCCAAGGGCUGUGAGGAAAUUGCCUCCGCAGCAUCAACCACCCUGCAGGAGGAAUGCCCGCCGCAAGCGGCAAAGGAACACCAGCUCCACCUGCACCCGACAUGGGAAUGCCUCAAACUCUCAGAGCCCUCGAGUCAGUGGUCUGACGAUGCCCCCCUCCGCCAGAGCCUGGGACUGGAGGGGGUCCUCACCCCGCGAUUGCCACACCGGCACCUUCUGCCUUCCCACCCCUGAAGACAACUUGCCGGCAUGGGCUGAAAGGGACUGAAUGCGGACAUGCAGCACUCCUUAACUCUCUCCUCUCAUUUUCUUUUAAUUCUUAAUUCUUGCUCAAUGAAACGUUAUGCUUUUAAGUGUUGUUCUUAAUGACCUACUGUUAUGCCUAUUACAAUCAUACAACACAAACAACACAUCAUGGCAUGCUUCAACCUGCUUGACUAAGUAGUAACGUUUACCUUGUUUAAAAAUGUAAUGUUCUCGUGAAUUAAGGCAUGUCUACUCAGUGAUUUUUUAUUUUUUUACAAUUGACAUAAACGGUUUGAAUAAUCUACUACGCAUUCAAUACACAUGUUAUCUGAUAUGUUUAUUAGGCUUGUUUUACAUUUAUUUUACUGUACUCAGUUUGCCUACUAGAAUACCAUAACUAUAUGUGUGCAAAUGCUCUGUGCGCUAUGUUAUAAUCUUAUACUACCUGUUUUUCCUUCGCUGGCCCUGAUGUUGUGGUGACAGGGGAGUGUAUGUUUUACAUGGCAUGCAACCACACAGAUAAUAGUUAAACUAAGCUAAAUGUGAUAUACUUAGUGGGCAUUCAAGCAGUAACUACAUAGGCAACUACAAUUGAGCCACAUCUAGCAUGUAACUCAGCAAUUAAUUAUCUAAGCAGUUCCUCCAUGUUAUAUCUGUCUUACCUGAACUACACACGUUAUGUCUAUACAACUUCAGGCGUGUUACUUAUAAAUAUAAAAUAGUGCAUGUUAAAUCUACUACCCUGAUGUUAAGCGAACUAAGAAGCCAGAGGAUUGCCAUCGGGGUACCUCCGGCCUGUAUGUUUUAUGGUGUUUUGGAAAGUUACAGGGUCAAAAUAGUGCUUGCCAGAUUCAGUUUGCCAGAUUGGUUUGCUGGGCCUGUGUUGCCUUUUGAGACCAUAUGGUAGCCCAGGAAUGUGAAAUAACCCCAUCAUGGCAUAUCAUUUUCAAAUGUAGACAAACCAGGGUAUUCAAAAUGGGGUAUGUCCAGUCUUUUGUAGUAGCCACUUAGUCACAAACGCUUGCCAAAGUUAGCGGUUUUAUUAGUUUUUUUAUUAAAAAAAUGUAAAUUAAUUUUUAUAUAUAUAUAUAUAUAUAUAUAUAGAAAUAUAAUACGUGUGUGUAUAUAUAUAUAUAUACAUACACACACUCACACAUAAUACGUGUCUAUGUAUGUGUGUGUGUUUAUGUAUAUAUAUAUAUAUAUAUAUAUAUAUAUAAAAUAUUGAAUAAGGAUACACUCUCCGGUCUUUUAAAGAAAAGUAGUGGUGUUUAUUCCAUCAAAGGGUUUACAAGAUUCUGAUCAACGUUUCGAGCCGUUCGGGUCUUCCUCAGGAUCCUCAGGAAUAUUUCCAUCAUGUGUCCUUAAGGGGUUAAUAAAAAAUACUCUUAGUAUGACGUUAUAUAUAAGAUGCAUAUAUAUAUAUAUAUAUAUAUAUAUAUAUAUAUAUACAUGGGGUUCCAAAUUGGAGAGGGGGGACUCUCUGGGCUCAGUCCAGAGAGCCCCCCAAAGAAGAAGACCAAGAAGAAGACCGAUCGCUGUCUGAGGAACGGCGGUGAUCGGUAAGUACAUGGGGAAAGGGGGAGGGUGGGUAGGGGUUAAUUUUUUUCUUAUUUAUUUAUUUAUUUUUGUAAUUUAUUUUAAUUUUAUUUUUUUUAACUGUUACUGAGUGCCUCGAUUCUUCGAGGCACUCAGUAAGGGUAAGAGCAUCUGAAUCCUGUGAUAGCUUCAGAUGCUCUUCCCUACACUGCCGGGCGCCACAUGCGGCAAACCCGGAAGUGAUCACUCCAGCGGAGUAGGGGGGGCCAUCACUUGGGUUCCCUGGCAGUGUAGGGGGUAUUACAUGAUGCCUCAAUAUCGAGACAUCGUGUAAUACCAUAGGAGCGGCUGGAAGUGAACACGAUCGCUUCCACCGCUGAAAAUAGCCGCGGAUGUAUCAGGUACGUCCAAGGUCUUUAACCCCUUAAGACCGGAGGGCAUACUAUUACGCCCUAUUCUAAGCGGCUCUAAAUGCUGCUGGGCAUAAUAGUACGCCCUCCGGUCUUUUCCUACUUACCUACUUACCCGGUCUUUUCCUACUUACGACGGCGAUCGCGGUUCGGGGGACUCCCAGGGAGUCCCCCGCGGCACGUCCAUCCUCCUGGAAACCCCCCCGGCCAUGUGAGAGUGGGGUCUUUGCGAGGACCCACAAUCACAUGGCCGGGGGUAGUUGGCUGCAGCAUUGCAAGCAGGGGGACUGCCUGUAAUGACAGGUGGUCCCCCUGCUGGCUGAAAAUAAAAUAAAAUAAGAUAAAUAGUGUAAAAAAAAAUAAUAAUAUAUACUUAGAUCAGGAACAGGAGUUUCUGUUUCCUGUACCCGGUCGGACUGACAGGAAGGUGCACACUGAGCGUGCACCUUCCUAUCACUCCGGCCGGCCACCGCGGACGGCAGAGCGGCUCGGCCACGCUACAGAGGAGGUGAGUACCAACUGCAGCCGCCUGAGUGCUCUUGACAGAGCGCUCAGGCAGCUGCAGUAUUUAAAGGGCCGGCGUAUAACACGCACCCACAAUUUCUCCCCUAUUUUCAGGGAGAAAAAGUGCGUGUUAUACGCCAAUAAAUACGGUAUAUUAAUAUCAAAUUACACGUAGACUGAUACUGAAUAAAUAUAUACAUAAUUAUUGUUUUAUAUAUAUAUUUAUAUAUAAUAUAAAAAAAAUAAAAACGUAAAUACGUUAAAAAAUAAAAUUCAAAAAAUAAUUACAAAUAAAUAAUUAAAAAAUAUAUAGAUGUGUGUUAUUUCGUUCUAACUGUAUUGUGAAAUGUAUUUAUAUAUAUAUAUAUAUAUAUAUAUAUAUAUAUCUAUCAAAAUACACGUAGAACAAAAUAAUAUAUAUAUCUAUAUACAUAAAUAUAUACGUAUAUAUCACUAUAUAUAUACCUAUAUAUAAAUAAAAAUAUUUAAAAAAAAUUAUAUAGAUAUAUACAUAUAUAUACACAUACGUAUAUAUAUACAUAUAUUAAUUCUACAUAUAUAUUUAUGUCAUAUUUUUACAUAAUUAGGUAUCUUAAUUAAUUACAAUUAGCAGGACCUGCCUGACAACCCAUGCUGAAAGUAAAGAGAAUUUAAUUUGCUAGCACUAUAUUUAACCCUAUAACUUUCCAAGACACCAUAAAACCUGUACAUGGGGGGUACUGUUCUACUCGGGAGACUUCGCUGAAUACAAAUAUUAGUGUUUCAAAACAGUAAAAUGUAUUACAACGAUGAUAUCGCCAGUAAAAGUGAAGUUUUUUGCAUUUUUCACGCACAAACAGCAUUACACGGACAAUAUUAUUGCUGUGAUACUUUUACUGUUUUGAAACACAAAUAUUUGUGUUCAGCGAAGUCUCCCGAGUACAACAGUACCCCUCAUGUACAGGUUUUAUGGUGUUUUCAAAAGUUACAGCGUCAAAUAUAAGGCUUGUGUUUCAUUUUUUCACAUUAAAAUUCGCCAGAUUGGGUACGUUGCCUUUGAGACCCUAUGGUAGCCCAAGAAUGAAAAUUACCCCUAUGAUGGCAUACCAUUUGCAAUAGUAGACAACCCAAGGUAUUGCAAACGGGGUAUGUCCAGUCUUUUUUAGUAGCCACUUAGUCACAAGCACUGGCCAAAAUUGGCGUUUUUUGCAUUUUUCACACACAAACAAAUACUAACGCUAACUUUGGCCAGUGUUUGUGACCAAAUGGCUACUAAAAAAGACUGGACAUACCCCAUUUGCAAUACCUUGGGUUGUCUACUAUUGCAAAUGGUAUGCAUUAUGGGUGUAAAUUUCAUUCCUGGGCUACUAUACAGUCUCAAAGGCAACGUAACCAAUCUGGCGAAUUUCAAUUUCAAAUGUAACGUGCUAUAUUUGACCCUGUAACUUCCCAAAACGACAUAAAACCUGUACAUAGGGGGUACUGUCUUACACAUGAGACUUUACUGAAUACAAAUAUGUGUAUUGUAUUGCAGUAAAAGCAAACAGUAUUAUGACAUUGACCGUUAAAAUGUCAUGUAGAACUAAACAAAUUUAAAAUAAAUCGUAUUUUCUCCCAUUUUUUUUUAUAUUAAUUUAUGUUUCAUAGCUAAAUAUUUGAUAUUAAAUGAAAGCCCUGUUUCCCCUGAAUAAAAUGAUAUAUAAUAAGGGUGGGUGCAUUUGCUCUGAAAGAGGUGAAUUACGGUUGGACAGACAUGUAGCGCAAAUGCCAGGUUUUGUUUACAUUUUGUUUUGUUCACAACGUGUACAUUUGGCUCCGUCCUUAAGGGGUUAAGGACCUUUUUUUGUUUUGUUUUGUUUUUAAUUCUUUAUUUUUGAGUGCAGAGUUAGAUACAGGCAAAAACAGUUCAGUACUAUACAUCAUAUUAAAUAUUUGGCACAGGUAGUCAAGAGGUACAGCACUUUUUCUUUUUGUUAUAACAAGAUAGGAACAUAAGUAAGACAGGGUAUGGCAUAAUAGUGAUGUACAAGGUUUAAACAGUCGAGUGUCAUUAUAUCUGGUUUGUCUAUGUUCUGGUGUUUAAGAUGUACUAAGAUGCAAGGAGCUGUUUAGUAACAAAAUUAUGCUUGGGCUAAAGAGCUGGUUUUGACCUUGACGUUUAAAUGGUUAGUAAUAUGCCUGAACAAUGUAUGAGAAGUCGAGCAGGUAAAUUAUACACAUGUUUAAACAAAAGGGAUUUAAAACUAUGAUGAUGCACCAGCUUAGUGAGGGAUGUUUAAAUCUGGAGCACCAGAUUGUUAUGAGUCACGGCAUCAUUGAUCAGGAUGGGCUUUACAGCAGGUAACCACUGGUGAUGAGGGCAGUGGGGAUGCGUGGCAGAGUGGUUGGGACUGGGUAAGGGGCUGUUAAUGCUCUUCUGGUAGGUGUGGUUUGCCCCCGGGUCAGUACGUGCCCUUCAAGCCUUUGCCAUCUCUUGUAGCUGGGUCGUUCAGUCCUGGGUUGAGGCUACGAAGGGCUGGAGCAGUAUGCCUCGGUGUCAUACAGCCACCGCUCCUUUCUGAGUGCCGGCGCUUGGUGUUUGGGAGAGUGAGUGAGGCUUCUCACCACUGCAUGUCAUGGGGCACACUCCUCUGGUUGCCGCUGUGAGUUGGUUGCCACUGGCCUCUUCGGCUUCUGCUGCUCAGUCGCUGUGCAGAGCCUGUACGCCGCUUGUUGCUCUAUGUGUUGUUUGUAUGAGGCAUCGUGAUGAGGACUGUCGCCAUCUUAGGCUUGUGGGAUGUUGUUGCGUUCUCCUGCCCGCGUCUAUCCAGCAGGGUCUGCUUGUAUAAUAGCAGGCUUGUGAUGGUGCCAUGAUGGACCGUGAUGCCCCCAACGGUCCAAAGGGGGGGAGGUCUGCGUCUGCAGGACUUCGGGACUGGAUGACCGGCCGCGUCCUUUGCCCCACAUCAACUGCUAGGCCGCAAGUCGGACGAGCCUCGGCCAGUGUGUUUCAUAAUGCCCCAGUCUGGUCCCACCAAGGGUUCCGUGAAGUGGGUACAUGUGUAGCCCGGUUAGUAUGGCUGAAUUGCGACCAGGAUUGUGGGGAUAUUUAUGGGAUAAUAAUAGUAAACAGUGAGAAUUGCCCACUAAUUCAAUUCUCAGUAUCGUAAGUGAAAAGUAUUUCAUAUAAUUAAAAUCACAAUUUUGUUAUAAAAAUAGAUUUUAUUUUAUAAUAACAUAUAAUUAACAAUAAUAUUAUGCAACAUGCAUGACAAUAAUCAAUGAAUAUCCAGUAUAAAAUGGUAUGCAAUACAAAGGAAUGGCUAUACAUGUUUCAAUGGCUAAACAGCAUUUUCUGUCAAGACUUAUACGAUUUAUGAGGUAUCCUUACACAGAGAGAAAGCGAAGGGCCAUAAAACCCUGGUUAACAGUUAGAAUAACCCUUUCAAUGCUGGCUAGAUCUCCUAGGUAAUUAAGAUCUAUUCUUAUGUAAUUUUAAAUAAAAUAACAUUUAAACCAGUUCAUUAGUCAUUUCCUGGAACCAUCCAAUAAGAGAAUCUACCAUGAUUUUUACAAAAGCAGAAUUUUAAUUUGUCUAAAAGAUAUCUUAUCUUAAUUAGAGCAAAUCAAUACACCUGGAUAAAAACAGCGGUAUGCUAACGUGAUAAUAUCACAUCAAUAUAUAAUUAUUCUUAAUUCCACCUGCAGAAUGGAAUGUUUAUAACUAUAUAUUCUUUAGUUAACUAAGAUUUCUUAAUAUGGAAAUCUGACCGUGAUUUAUCCAGUCAGAUAUCAUGCCAUUAGUACAUUUUAAUUAAUUUAAUUAAUUAAAUGAAACCAGUAUAAUUACCAGUUGAGUAGAUAUUUCAUCCGAUUGGUAAUUAGUCUCGGGAACUUAUUUGGAUGUCUCUCUGCAUGGAGGUGUGUAGGAAUUUCUGAGUGUCCUAGAGUGUCAUUGCUCCCCACUGCUCACUUCUUUGCUUUCUUUGCAUACCCUUGCAUUCCUUGUCUCCCUUCUUCUUUCUCCUUUGCAUACCCCUCUGUCUUCCCUUUGUCCUAACUUUUAAAGGGCCAGACUCUCUGUACGUCAUCAGUUGAUAACCCAAUAGAAGCACUAGAGGUGUGCUUACCUAGGGAUCGCAAUUUAGGUAUUUGGUCUAUAGAGGGCAGUCUUGUCCCACUAAACAUACCUAUCCCGGAAAGAGUUAACUUUUCUUGGUGGCUAUUUUGACGUCAUUUGGCUAAUCUAAAAUGACUACCAUAACUUAGAUUUGCUGUCAGUUCAAACAUUUUCUUUAAGUUUUGUCCAGACUAUGUGUCUGGCAAAUUCUGAGUUUUGACCCGUAACUUACAAUGGGACGUUAUACAUAUAGAAAGUAACAUUUUAUUAUUUAAUCUCCUCUGUCACAAAUGUCUGGGUUUAGAAUGCAUCUAUUCCAUUAGCAUUUAGACAGUCUGUCCAACCCCCGUUCUCCUUAUCACUUGGUUUGUAUAUACUAUGCAUUCCUUUAGCUCUGGCAAAGUGGUUAGUUUUACAGAUAGAAAUCUUGUGUCUUUUGUUAGCUUGGAAAUAACAAAAUGGAGUCUGCUCUGUUCAGAGUGACUCAGAAUAUACACUUUUAAUUUCUAUCAUAGCACAAGAUGUCUGCCGUUAUAAAUACUCUGCCAGGAUGUCUUAAAAUCUGCCAUUUGGCAGGAGCCCUGGUUUUAUUCGACUUCUCUGCAUCGCGGUCAAGCCCCGCCCCCCUUAAGGUCUGUUUUUUGUUGGACGUACCUCGUACAUCAGCGGUCAUUAAAGGGUUAAAGGGCUAAAAAAGAGACAGUCAUUGUUGAAGCAAGAGGUUUUGGUACUCUUCUCCUUUUACAUUUUUUGUAUCACUCUUUAGAACAGAGCAUAUUCAUAAAUGUCCCUUCACUUGUAUGGUAGUGGAAUGAGCCACAUGUUAUUUUACGUCAUUAGGUCUUAACAACUCUCCAAAAAUGACAAACUAUUUCACGUAAUUACCUGUUUUUGUUCUUGUUGUUUCAGCUUCCUGCUUCUUCACUGGAGUCUCUAUUAAAGAUAUUACAUUCUUUGAUACACCAUAAUUGAUAUGGCAGCAGGUAAAUACCUCUCCCUGUACAUUCUCUAUAUAUCAACUAUACAUCAAAUGCAAAUUAAAUAAUUGUUUUAUAAUAUCAUUCUUUUCUUAUUGAUUUAAUCAGAAAAUAUGAAAACUCUUACAUAACACACUGCAAUUUGUUGAGAAGGGCAUUAGCACUGAGAAUGCAAAUUUAAUACACAUUGGAAAAAUAAUAGCACAUAUCCCAGGAAUAUACAAAUAAGGAAAGCCACGGAGCAAAUAUAUAUAAUGAGAAAAGCGCUAAAGCUAAUAGUAUACAAAGCCAAUGCCAAGGCAAUAUUGAUAAUAUACUAUUAUCUCAUACUUUGUUUUUUUCUUUGCUCUUUGGGAUUAAAAUGUUUGAAUGCAUGUUUAGUAAGUGUAUAAUAUCAGAUCUAAAACAUAAUAUUAUUUAAUGUCUAGUGUAAAGUUAAAAAAUAAAGAAUGUAUUCUCUAAUUCUCUAACAACUAGCGACAUGCUUUCAUCCAUUUUUUUUUAGUUUCUUGAACGAUUACCAUCAAAUAUCACUGGGCUCCUUACAAAAUGAUUUUAGUUUACACUCUUUUUGACAAAGGGAUUAAAAAGUUUAAAAUACAUGUUUAGUAGGUGUAUAAUAUCAAAUCUAUAAUAUAAUAGUAUGGAAUGCUGAUGUAACGUAAAAAAUAAUUUUUUUUUUAGUUUCUUGAACAACUAUAAAGAUGUUUUCUAUAUUCUAAGUUUGGGAUUAAAACGUUUAAAUGCAUGUUUUGUAGAUGUAUAAUAUCAGAUCUAUAAUAUAAUGUUAUGGAGGGGGAGUGGUGUGGGCUCCGGACGUAAUGGCUGCCUAAGGCACGAUCUCCGCUCCAUCUCAUCCCUAUAUAGCACCUCUUUACAAUAAAAGCAGCCACAUGGGUCACACAGAAACAUUAAAGAUCGUGAGGGGCAGUCAAUUGGGGUCCAACACUGGCCCCAUGGAUGGGAAUUUGUUCACCGUGGCCGGAAAAAAGAAAGAGGCGGGCAACCCCCAAAAUGGUGCCAAUAUCGCCUUUCUGCCCAGCAGAAGUGAUUGAAAAGAUCAGAGAGAUUCAUGUUAGAUAGGAUCGUGGAGGACCUUCGCAACAGGGCAUCCUCUAUGGAAAUGAAAAAAAAAUCCAGAAACUUACCUCUACCAUCGAUGAAAUGACUAAGACUGAAAUGGCGCACCUAUGAACUGAGGUGACAGCGCAAGAUGGCUACCUGCCAUCUCUGGAAGUGUCCACAACACAUCUAACAACCCGCUCCAUGGCCUCUGAUAUUGCAGUGUUACGAUAGAGAGCGAUGCUGCUAGCAAUGUGAUGCCACAUGGAAGAUCUAGAUAACUGAGGAAGCCACUGUAACAUGCGGUAUACCUGAGCCGGAGGGGGCAGACGACAUGGAGGAAAUGCUCUCUGGCUUGUUCUGCUCUGUGUGAGGAAGCACCGGCUUAGUUUGAAUUUAAGCAAACUCAUCGUGCACUGAGAUCCAGGACUCCCACUGACUCACCGNNNNNNNNNNNNNNNNNNNNNNNNNNNNNNNNNNNNNNNNNNNNNNNNNNNNNNNNNNNNNNNNNNNNNNNNNNNNNNNNNNNNNNNNNNNNNNNNNNNNAAAAAAUAAAGAAUGUAUUCUCUAAUUCUCUAACAACUAGCGACAUGCUUUCAUCCUUAUAGAUUGCAAGCUUGUUUGAGUAGGCCUUUCUUUACCUUCAAUUAUCCCCUCCCUAUAAAUGUAAAGCCCAGUAGAAUAUGUUGGUGCUGUAUAAAUGCUAAUAAAAAGUUUCAUAAAAAGUAGUUUAAAGUGCUAAAAAUAAGACAAUCAUUGCUGAAGCAAGAGAUUUUGAUACUCUUCUCCUUUUAAAUUUUUGCAUCACUCUUUAGAACGGAGUAUAUUCAUAAAUCUCCAUUCACUUCCAUUUUAGUUGAAUGAACCACUUUUUAUUUUACAUCAUUAGGUCUUAACAUCUCUACAAAAAUAAAAAAAUAUUUAGCGUUAUUACCUGUUUUUGUUGGUUCAGCUUCGUGCUUCUUCACUUGAGUCUCUGUGAAAGAUAUUACAUUUUAUGAUAUCCCAUAAUUGGUAUGGGAGCAGGUAGAGUAAAAACCUCUCACUCUAUAUUUUCUACAUUUUAAAUAUACAUGAAAUUUAAAUUAAAUAAUUGUUUUUAUGCUAUUAUAAUCUAUUAUUGUUUUUUUUUUUUUUGGUUUUUAAAGAAUUAAUGCAUAUUUACUGGGUAUAUAAUAUCAAAUCUAAAAUAUAGUUUUAUAGAAUUUCUGGUGUAGAACAUAAAAGAGGAAAACAUUUUUAAAGGAUUAUUCAUUAAAGUGAGACUUAAAAGUACAUUUUAUUGACUUUCAAAGUAGCCAAACUACAAGUGUAUCUAACUUCUACUCUGGCUAUUUUUUUUACCUUGAAUUUGAAAUUCACGUUGAAUUCACUUUUAAUUUGUUUUGUUCUAUAUGUCAAUAUGUCUCCAGAAAUAACAAAUCAUUUUACGUAAUUACCUGUUUUUGUUGGUUUAGGUUUGUGCUUCUUCACUGGAGUCUCUGUGGAAGAUAUUACAUUCCACAAUAUACCAUAAUUGAUAUAGGAGCAGGUAGAGUUAAGUGCCUCUCAAUCUAUAUUCUCUACAUAUCAAAUAUGCAUGAAAUGUAUAUUCCAAAAAGUGGUUUAAAGUGCUAAAAAAGACACAGUCAUUGCUGAAUCAAGAGGUUGUGAUACUCUUCUCCUUUUACAUUUUUGCAUCACUCUUUAGAACCGAGUAUUUUCAUAAAUCUCCCUUCAUUUGUAUGGUAGUGGAAUGAACCACAUGUUAUUUUACUUCAUUAUGUCUUAACAUCUUUCCAAAAAUGAUAAACUAUUUCACCUAAUUACCUCUUUUUGUUUUUGUUGGUUCAGCUUCCUGCUUCUUAACUGGAGUCUCUGUGAAAGAUGAUACAUUCUAUGAUGAUUGAUAUAGGAGCAGGUAGAGUAAAUACCUUUCAAUCUAUAUUCUAUACACAUCAAGUAUACAUGAAAUAUAAAUUAAAUAAUUGUUUUUAUGCUAUCAUAUACUAGUUUCACAUACUUUCUGUUGUUUUUUUUUCUGUUUGGGUUUCAAAGAUGGAAAGGAUGUUUAGUGGGUAUAUAAUAUCAAAUCUGGAAUAUAGUUUUAUUGAAUGUCUUGUGUAGAAAAUAAAAGAGGAUAGCAUUUAUAAAGGAUUAUUCAGUAAAGUGAAACUUUAAAGUAAAUUUAAUGUGAAUUUCAAAGUUGCCAAACUAGAAGAGUAUUUAACUCAAACUUCGGCUAUUUGUACCUUAAAUUUGGAAUUCACUUUGAAUUCACUUUGAAUUUGUCUUUUUUUUCUAUAUAUGUCAUUAGGUCUUAACAUGUCUCCAAAAAAUAAUGAAUCACUACACGUAAUUACCUGUUUUUGUUUGUUCAGCUUCGUGCUUCUUUACUGGAGUCUCUGUGGAAGAUAAAACAUUCUUUGAUAUCCCAUAAUUGAUAUGGUAACAGGAAGAGUAAAUAACUCUCCCGGUACAUGCUAUAGAAACAUAGAAACAUAGAAACAUAGAAUGUGAAGGCAGAUAAGAACCAUUCGGCCCAUCUAGUCUGCCCAAUUUUCUAAAUACUUUCAUUAGUCCCUAGCCUUAUCUUAUAGUUAGGAAAGCCUUAUGCCUAUCCCACGCAUGCUUAAACUCCUUUACUGUGUUAAUCUCUACCACUUCAGCUGGAAGGCUAUCCCAUGCAUCCACUACCCUCUCAGUAAAGUAAAUAUAAAUAUAGUCUCCUCCUUUACUGUGUUGAUUCCCUUUAUAUAUUUAAAUGUUUCUAUCAUAUCCCCCCUGUCUCGUCUUUCCUCCAAGCUAUACAUGUUAAGAUCCUUUAACCUUUCCUGGUAAGUUUUAUCCCGAAUCCAUGAACCAGUUUAGUAGCCCUUCUCUGAACCCUCUCUAAGGUAUCAAUAUCCUUCUGAAGAUACGGUCUCCAGUACUGUGUACAAUACUCCAAGUGAGGUCUCACCAGUGUUCUGUACAAUGGCAUGAGCACUUCUCUCUCUCUACUGCUAAUACCUCUCCCAAGCAUUCUGCUAGCAUUUCCUGCUGCUCUAUUACAUUGUCUGCCUACCUUUAAGUCAUCAAUGUAUAUAUAUGAAAAAACAUUUAGCGUAAUUACCUGUUUUUGUUUUUGUUGGUUCAGCUUCAUGCUUCUUUACUGGAGUCUCUGU